UGUUGGCCCGUCGCAUCUCCGGCCCCUCGCUCCGGUGCGGGGCCCCCGCCACCGACACCCUCAUUCCCCGGGCGAGGCGCGGAGCCCCCUCACCGGCUCGCGGAGAGGUGGGACGCGUCCCGACCCAGCUGUCCAGACAAGUCCGGGAGGGACGGAAAUGAGAACCAGUCACUGUGCGAGCACAGACUACAGAGAGAUGGCUUCACCAGAAGGAAUGGAAGAUUUUUUUUAAAGUAGACAACAGAGGGCAUUCCAAUAGAUGGAACCACUUAUGCAAAGAGGGUCCUGAGGAUUGAACCCAGAACCUCACACAUGCUAAACAUGCGCUCUACCACUGGAGCUGUACCCUCCCCUGAGCCACACCGUUCUGCUCCCCUGCUCCCCGGGACAACAUCUGGUACCAGCUUCCUGCAUAUCCUUCCAGAAAGUCUCUGCAUUGUCAAGUACACACAUGUGUGUAUACACACAGGCAUUUAUAGAUAAUUUUUCUAUACAAAGAACAGAAUACUACUGCAUCUUGCUUUCUUCACUUUAAAAUAGAUUUUGGAGAUCUUUCCAUUUUUAUUUAUUCUUUUAUUCUUUCACUUGACAAGUAUUUAUGGCGUGCCUACUGUAUGUCAGGCAUACUUAGGUGGUGAGGAUUGUAGCAAUGGGCAGAAUAGGUAAAAUCUCUGUCUUCAUGGAACUUAUAUUCUAGUAGAAGUGGUACAGGAAAGCAGACAAAACCCAAAUAAACAAUGAAAUAUAUACAGUAUGCCAGAUGGUGAUACGUACUAUGGGGAAAAAUAAAGCGGCAUCCUGGGAGGGCAGAGGUGGGAGAGUGGCCGCAGUGGUUACAGAAGAGAUGGAGACAGAGAGAUCCUGUUUCUUCUUGGUCCAGAAGCACUCUAUCAGAUGAAUAUACCAUAAUUUGUUUAAUCAGUCCCCUACUGAUAGAAAUUUACCUUGUUUCUAAUAUUUUGCUGUUAGAAGGAUGCAAUUUUUGCCCACAUGCCAUUUGACACAUCCAAGAGUAUAUGUGCAGCUUAAAUUCCUAAAAGAGGACUUGCCAUUUCAAAGAGUCUGUGCAGUUUUAAUUUUAUGAGAUAUUGCCAAAUUCCUCUCCGAAGAGUACCAGUUUACUGACCUUUCAGCAAUGAAAGAGAGGGCCCUGUCUUCAACAACACUGUGUGUGGUCAAGAUUCAUGAUGCUUGCCUAUCUGAUAAGUAAACCAUGAAAUCUUAUAAGUCUAAUUUGCAUUCACUUUUUAUGACUGAAGUUGAGUGUCUUCCCACUGUUUAAAGGCCAUUUUUAUAUCUUGUAAACUGUCUAUUUAUAUCCUUUGCCAGAUUUUCUAUUAUGUAUGUGAGGUGGGGGAGGGGGCUGGUUGUUUUGUUUUCUUUCAUUUCUAACUUGUGGAAACUCUUUUCAGUAAAGAAUUUAUAUCCUGUUUGGGAUGUGAGUAGCAAAUAUUUAACCCAAUUUGUCAUUUCUCUUUUGACUGUGUUGAUAAUAAAUGGCUUUUGUGAUACAGAACAUUUUUAUUAUUAUGCAGUCCAAUUAAACCAUCUUUUUAAUGGCUUCAAAAACUAUUAUUCUUUU